rnacentral:misc_RNA from 1 species
GAAAUGCGAUACUUGGUGUGAAUUGCAGAAUCCCGCGAAUCAUCGAGUUUUUGAACGCAAGUUGCGCCCGAAGCCAUUCGGUCGAGGGCACGUCUGCCUGGGUGUCACGCAUCGUUGCCCCCCCAAACUCCGGUUCGGGCGGGGCGGAAGUUGGCCUCCCGUGCGUGCCUGCGCGCGCGGUUAGCCCAAAAGCGAGUCCUCAGCGACGAGCGCCACGACAAUCGGUGGUUUUUUUACCCUCGUUCCUCGUCGUGCGUGUCCCGUCGCCCGAACGCGCUCUUGUGACCCUCACGCGUCGCCUCGGCGGCGCUCCCAACGCGACCCCAGGUCAGGCGGGACUACCCGCUGAGGUUAAGC